AAUCAACGCUGGCGGCGUGCCUCAGACAUGCAAGUCGAACGCGAAAGGUUCCUUCGGGAGCCGAGUAGAGUGGCGCUCGGGUGAGUAACACGUAGGUAAUUUGCCUUUGGGUGGGGAAUAACAAUCGGAAACGGUUGCUAAUACCGCAUAAUGCAGCGGCUCGACAUCGGGACAGUUGUUAAAGCGGGGGAGUCCUUCGGGACCUCGCGCCUAAAGAGAAGCCUGCGGCGGAUUAGCUAGUGGUGAGGUAAUGGCUCACCAAGGCGACGAUCCGUAACCGGCCUGAGAGGGCGGACGGUCACACUGACACUUAAAUACGGGUCAGACUCCUACGGGAGGCAGCAGUCGGGAAUUUUGGGUCAAUGGGCGAAAGCCUGACCCAGCAACGCCGCGUGAAGGAUGAAAUCCCUCGGGAUGUAAACUUCGCAAGAACGGGAAGAAUAAGCGAGAGUAAAUACCUCUCGUGAUGA
rnacentral:rRNA from 1 species